AGUCAGUUUGCCAUGCUUCUGCCUGCUGAAGCCCUUCAAGGACUCUACCAGCUGAGCCAACCCACCCCCCUCCCGCUGUCCUUAAACAUCAGAGGCCUGAAGUAAGAACUGACAGCUGGACGUGAGGCGAUUAGAAGGCCUGCUGUGGUUUGCACGUCACAGACGAUCGCCAUGUAUGUCCUGGAAAUGACCCAAGCCAUCUUCGUUCCAAGAACAAGAAUUGCUCACCCUUUUAGGAAAGUGGACAACGGAAAAAGUCGUGUGAGUCCUUCUUUCAGACAAGUGAUGGGGCUGCUUACCCAAGCUGCUUUAAUUUAUGUCCACUGCCAGUCACACACACCAGCAACUGCAAAAGGCCAAUAAAAGAAAAGCGUGAACCACGUGCCUUCACCAAUGGGGAACAGGAGUGUGGCUCAGUCAUAGAUCACUGGCCUGGCGUGCAUGAAGUCCUAAAUCUGAUCCCCUGCACAGCAAAACAGAAGAAAGAAAAUUUCCCAUUGCACCAGGGAACUCUGGGUACAUCUUGAACCUACGUUGUCUCACUUCUUGGUCCUCUUAUGUAAAAUCCUAGAUAAUUUUUGUUACCAAAAUUUUACUUUACUAAUUUAAAACUGUU